rnacentral:rRNA from 1 species
GGUGGGGGGUGGGGGGGGGCGGGGGGCGGGCAGGGCGAGCGGAGGGGCGGGAAGCGUGGUUUUCUGGUGUUAGCGGCGGACGGGGGAGGAACGCGUGGAUAACCUACCUAUAAGACUGGGAGAACUUCGGGAAACCGGAGCGAAUACCGGAUAAUAUUUUGAACCGCAUGGUUCAAAAGUGAAAGACGGUCUUGCUGUCACUUAUAGAUGGAUCCGCGCUGCAUUAGCUAGUUGGUAGGGUAACGGCUUACCAAGGCAACGAUGCCUAGCCGACCUGAGAGGGUGUACGGCCCCUCUGUAACUGAGACACGGUCCAGACUCCUACGGGAGGCAGCAGUAGGGAGUCUUCCGCAAUGGGCGAAAGCCUGACGGAGCAACGCCGCGAGAGUGAUGAAGGUCUUCGGAUCGUAAAACUCUGUUAUUAGGGAAGAACAUAUGUGUAAGUAGCUGUGCACAUCUUGACGGUACCUAAUCAGAAAGCCACGGCUAACUACGUG